rnacentral:rRNA from 1 species
GUGCCAGCCGCCGCGGUAAUACGGGGGGGGCAAGCGUUGUUCGGAAUUACUGGGCGUAAAGGGCUCGUAGGCGGCCAACUCAGUCGGACGUGAAAUCCCUCGGCUUAACCGGGGAACUGCGUCCGAUACUGGAUGGCUUGAGUGUGGGAGAGGGAUGCGGAAUUCCAGGUGUAGCGGUGAAAUGCGUAGAUAUCUGGAGGAACACCGGUGGCGAAGGCGGCAUCCUGGACUACUACUGACGCUGAGGAGCGAAAGCCAGGGGAGCAAACGGGAUUAGAUACCCCGGUAGUCC